rnacentral:lncRNA from 1 species
AUGUAUUUGAAAAGAAUUUGUAUUCAUAAUGUCAUUUUUUUCUUUUUUUUCUUAGCAUUGUCAAAACAUGAAAAUAAAGGGAAGAAGAAGUCAUGGUCUGGCAGUGAGAUUUUCUCAUCCUGCGGUGGUGGUGGAGCUGACCGUUUAGCAGCUCAUAACCUGGAACAAGGAUUCUGCGUGGAAGUACAGGAGAUGCAGAAGCAGAGUCAGUCGAAGCCAAAACCCUGGAAAAAGUCUGGUGAUGUUGAUCAGGAUGAUCCCUGACACAGUAAUAAUAACUAAUACCGAGCACCUGCUGUGUCCCAGGUAACACGUGAUUUCAUAUGUAUUAUUUGAUUGUUUCCAAAACCCCAACAAGGUAAAUGCUAUUCCCUUAACUUGGUAGCUAAAGAAAUUGACCUUUGGAGAGACUUGACAAUUUCCUCACGUCCAUACAGUGAGGAGGAGAGAGAAUCAAACCCUGCGACUCCUAUGUCCACAUUAUGAACGGUCCUAGCUCUUCUGUCCCAGGUCUGUGUGCUGUAGCUUUUCCAUCCCUGUCUCGGACCCACAGCCAGAGCAGGGCUGCCCAUCAUGCUCUGUUCCACCUCUGAUCCAGCAUCAGGAACUCUACUACAUUCCGUUUGGUCUUGAGAUAUAGAAGUAAGAACAUACAAUUACUUUUGUUCAUUAUCAUAGUUCCUAGAUUUAAAGCCCUGAGACAUGAAGAUAGAGACACCUUAGAUCAUUAUGCUAAAUCUAAUUACAUGGCAAAGCAUUAGAUAGAAGGGCUUUCUCCCUACCAAAACCAGUGAAAUUAGAAAUGACCACACUAUAGCCCCACAUCUAAAUCCAGAUAUUAAAUUGGCACAUCCCUGCUUAUGUUUCCUGGACUCAGAUGACUUUGGCAAAUGGCAUGGGAAUCUGCUACCACAGCAUCUGACAUUUGUCACCUUCCUCAACAGAGGAUCCCCCAGGGUGUCAAUUUUCAUAUUUAAUCUUUUCCAAUAUUAUUCUCUGUCUGGGGUCUCUAUAGAUAUGUAGAUGCUUGUAGAAUAGAAAAAAAAAUUGAACUCCUCGUGAACUCCUAGGACAGAAAGUAAAGGUCAUUUGUCACAUGUUGGUGAGGCUGUGGCUCUUAGGAGAAUGUCCACAGAGUUUGAAAAUCAUUUGGUAUUUAAUAUAGACUUGGAAUCAUGUAAACACAUGUCCUUGUAAUUUUUAUCCUUAUGAAUGUGCAUUCAGGUUUUUUUUUCCAUUUAUGUUCUUCUUUCUUGUUCUCCUUCUCUCCUUUUUUGUGCUUCAGCUCUAGACUUGAGUUUCCUGAGAAAUGUCUUCAUCACAUUUUGGGAGUCUUGAGUUGUGAGCUCAGAGAUUUGGCUUUCAACAUCUUUCAAAUAGUUCUCUUCAUGUUUUGAUGAUUCACCCGUCAUCUGCUAAGUCUCUACUGUAGGCUUAAGUGGACGUGGGAAACAAAAGGAUAAAGAAGUCAGGACCUUGACGCUAAAAAUGGAUUUCACCCAUGAAGGCCCAUGGGUGAUGUUUACUGAAAAUGAAUGUUCUCUGGGUAGCUGGGGGAUCUGUUGACUUGCUGUAUUUUCUUAACUUAUUUGAAAACCGUUACCUUUUAGGAGAUUGAUCCUAAUGGAAAUUUCAAAUAUUGAGUUUGGUAAGAGAGGGAGGAGUGUUUGGGAAGGUGGGUUAUUCACAGAAAAGGUGGGAACACCCUUUAUUUCUUUCUUCUUCCUUCCUUCCUUCCCUCCUUCCUUUCUUUUCUUUUCUUUCUUUUUUUCCUCUCUUUUUAGAGCCAUACACAUGGCGCAUGGAAGUUCCCAUGCUAGGGGUUGAACUGGAGCUGCAGCUGCUGGCCUACACCACAGCCACAGCCACAGCAGUGCCAGAUCCAAGCUGUGUCUUCAACAUACAUCAUAGCUCAUGGCAAUGCUAGAUCCUUAACCCACUGAGCAAGGCCAGGGAUAGGACACGCAACCUCAUGGAUAUUAGUUGGGUUUGUUACCACUGAGCCAUCAUGGGAACCCCACCCUCUCUUUCUUUAUGGAGCUCACAUUAAUUUUUCUUCUUUGAAAGAUAAUGAUAGGGAGUUCCGGUUGAGCUCAGUGGUUAAUGAAUCCGACUAGGAACCAUGAGGUUUUGGGUUCAAUCCCUGGUAUUUGUCAGUGGGUUAAGGAUCCGGCAUCGCUCUGAGCUGUGGUGUAGGUUGCAGAUGUGGCUCAGAUCUGGUGUUGCUGUGGCUGUGGCUGUGGCUGGCAGCUGUAGCUCUGAUCAGACCCCUAGCCUGGGAACCUCCAUAUGCUGCGGGUGCAGCCCUAGAAAGACAAAAAAAAAAAAAAAAAAAAAAAAAAAAAAGGAAAGAUAAUGAUAAUCAUCAAAGCAGCCUUAGAGUUCCUGCUGUGGCUCAGCAAGUUAAUAGCCAACAUACUGUCCAUGCAGAUGUGGGUUUGAUCCCUGACCUCGAUCGAUGGGUUAAGGAUCUGGUGUUGUCUCAAGCUGUGGUGUAGGUCACACAUGUGGCUUGGAUUCAGGGUGGCUGUGGCUGUGGUGUAAGCCUCAGCUGCAGCUCUGAUUCAGUCCCUAGCCCAGGAACUUCCAUAUGGUGCAAGAGCAGCUGUCAAAAUAAAAAAGAAACCUGCCCCCCCCCA